UCCAUCAAGUAAGCGAAAGAGACCAAAGAAAUCUGAAAACUGUAUUUUCCUGCUUUUUCCAGCAUAUCUGUCAAACUGGACUUCAUCACACAUAAGAGCUAUCUUUUACAUCUCUGCCAAAGUGAAUCAAAAGAAGUUAAGACUCCUUUCCUCAUGGUCUGUUAUUUUCAGAAAUGCUCAUUCAGGGCAGAACCUGUUUAGGAGAGAAAGACCUCCACUUAAUUACACGUAGAAGUACAAUGCAUUGGUAAUGUUUCAUGGCGCUGCCCUUCACAAAUCUUGAAGUAGCUUUCAUCUUGCUGGCUUUUGUCAUCUUCACCCUAUUUAUCCUGGCUUCCAUCUAUAGUAAGCCUGAUGCAGAUGAUGCAGAAGAAGUUUGCUAUCCCUUGGAAGACAAAAUAAAGAAGAGGAAGUCAUGCAAAACAAAGACAAAAGCUUCCAUGGACUCCAGUGUGGUUGCAGCAGUUUAACAGAUGAGGAGAAUUUGGGUCUUAAUGUUGAAAAUGCUUUCGAAGAAAGGAGUCAACAAAGGAACUAGUCCCCCAGAGACAAUGCAAAACAAAGGAUGUGAAUGAGAAUGGAAUGAACUCUUCAGUGAUCAAAAGGAAUCCAGACAUGAUACCACAGUUAAAGGAACUUUGUCAUGCAAAGUAGUUUUAGCCUUGUUUUAUAGCAGUGCUCCGUUAUUAGCUGAAUAAUAAAACUAUUGAGGCUUUUUUUAUAAACCGCACCUGCUUCAGAUGUUGGAAUGACCAGAAUCUUUGCACACAGAAACUUUAUUAUGCUCCUCUAAUUUCAUCUCCCCUCAUAAUCUACCUGCAGGUGCUAGAAACCUGGCAUUAUGUCAUGUGCCAAACAAAAUGCCACUUGUACUUCAACUUUGGAUUUGCAGGCGAUAGAGAAAACUGGGCAUGUGCUUGCUCUGAAAUCUUCUCUUACACAAUGGCUGACCCAGAGUACUACCUAGAGAAGAUGCUGCACAGCAAAAUGAAACAUUAAUGCAGUCUGCUUUGUUGCAGUAAGGACAACUGAGUGACAACAGGACUGGAGUAAAAAUGGAUAUCCUAAGGAACUAGAGAGAGGUAUCAGCAUGCUUGGGUGAAUUCUGAAGCAUGCAGAAAUAUCCAAAACCUUUGUUAAAACCUCACACAGGGAAACAUUCCUUUCAGCAUCAUAGUAAGGACUAAGCAUGCUCAGUGGC